rnacentral:rRNA from 1 species
UACAGAGGCCUCAAGCGUUGUUCGGAAUUACUGGGCGUAAAGCGAAUGUAGGUGGUGAUGCAAGUCAGAUGUGAAAGCCCUGGGCUCAACCCGGGAAUUGCAUUUGAUACUGCGACGCUAGAGUGCGGGAGAGGUAAGUGGAAUUCCUGGUGUAGGGGUGAAAUCCGUAGAUAUCAGGAGGAAUACCGAUGGCGUAGGCAACUUACUGGCCCGUAACUGACACUGAGAUUCGAAAGCAUGGGUAGCAAACAGG